UACGUAGGGUGCGAGCGUUAAUCGGAAUUACUGGGCGUAAAGCGUGCGCAGGCGGUGAUGUAAGACAGAUGUGAAAUCCCCGGGCUCAACCUGGGAACUGCAUUUGUGACUGCAUCGCUGGAGUGCGGCAGAGGGGGAUGGAAUUCCGCGUGUAGCAGUGAAAUGCGUAGAUAUGCGGGGGAACACCGAUGGCGAAGGCAAUCCCCUGGGCCUGCACUGACGCUCAUGCACGAAAGCGUGGGGAGCAAACAGGAUUAGAAACCCUCGUAGUCC
rnacentral:rRNA from 1 species